AUUUUACCCCAAGUGUUUUCUCCUACACCAUUUGAACCCUCUGCAAGUCUCACAGUGUUUCUAGGUCUCGCAACGACAAAUGGACGAAGAAAGAUUGGAAAAUUGAUCGGAUUUUUUCGGGUGCUUAAACCAUUUAUCAACUUCAUCUUCUUCAGACUCUUGAAGAGCUCUGUUCUCUGGUUGUUGGAAUGAGUCUGAACCAUCUAUGAAACUCCAAAUGUCAGGAUCUAAAUCAAAAGGCAUCUCCAGCAGCUCUGGUUUGUCUACCUCUUGUAACAUCCCCGUAAACUCGCUAUAAGUUAGAAUGUGCUCAAACAUUUGACUUAUCUGUGCAUCAUCGUCUUUGCUUGAAAUGUUGGAACCAGCAAAAGACAUUGAAGCAUUUGGAGAUGACUCUUGAGAGUUCUCUUCUUCAUUCAAAGAACCUUUUGAACCCGCUUCAUCGGCAUUAAGGCAGCUUAGAAGCAAUCUUCGACCACCUGAAUCCAAAAUGCAGAAAAGCUAUUGUCAAAAUCAAAACUUUGAGCCCACAACAAGACAUUAACAAGAUAACACAUACUUGUUACCAAAGCUCUGGUGAAGUUUGAUGAUGGUGUCUUCUUCCUCUGCACUGAAAUUGCCACGUUUCACAUCAGGUCUGAGGUAAUUAAUCCAUCGCAGACGACAACUCUUGCCACACCUCAACAAUCCUUCAUUGCAUGCAUAGAUAGAAUCAGAACCAGAAGACUAGAAAAGCUAAAGAAAGAGGCUUUUAAAGAUCAUAGACAUACCAGCUUGCUUUGGGAGAGAUCUCCAAUUCUCAUGACCAUUCUUGUGAAUGAAAGAGAUGAGUUUCAAGUCUUCAUCAUGGCUCCAUGGUCCUCUCUUCACUUUGGUUUUGUCACAACAUGGUGCUCUUCCUUUGCCCAUAUUCUCUCUCUCCUCUCUCACAGACACACACUUUUGAGAUUCCCUCUUACCAAAUCCAAUUGCUUUUAUGUGUAUUUAUACAUGAGAAGUGGUGUGUGUGAUCCUGACAUUGAGAAACAUGUUAUAAACCACAGACAUUGACAAAUGUCACAUCAGAUUUGUUGAGGUUAAAAACUUGUCUAUAU
rnacentral:lncRNA from 1 species